GUACAAUGUUUUGCAUGGACUACGCACCAGACCUGGACAACUUGGGGUCCAAUUGUGUCAAGUGGCUGUUAUUCCUCUUUAUGCAUUCCGCUUCUGGUAUCAGCUUUAAUCCUGACAACAUUUCUUCAUACAAUAUAGCAAUAGGAACCCAUGUACGGCGUUCAUUCAGAGGUAGAAUCUAUAACUAGAUGAUGCCAGCCGUUCUAAGCCAAACGUGUAUCACAUCUGAAAUUAC